rnacentral:rRNA from 1 species
AAUCAACGCUGGCGGCGUGCCUCAGACAUGCAAGUCGAACGCGAAAGUCCCCUUCGGGGGACGAAGUAGAGUGGCGCACGGGUGAGUAACACGUAGGUAAUCUACCUUCGGAUGGGGAAUAACAACCGGAAACGGUUGCUAAUACCGCAUAAUGCAGCGGCACCUAAUGGUGACAGUUGUUAAAGCGGGGGAUCGAAAGACCUCGCGUCUGAAGAGGAGCCUGCGGCGGAUUAGCAGUUGGUAAGGUAACGGCUUACCAAGGCGACGAUCCGUAGCCGGCCUGAGAGGGCGGUCGGCCACACUGACACUGACAUACGGGUCAGACUCCUACGGGAGGCAGCAGUCGGGAAUUUGGGCAAUGGGCGAAAGCCUGACCCAGCAACGCCGCGUGAAGGAUGAAAUCCCUCGGGAUGU